GCAGAGGGAUCCGUGUCCCUGCCUUCAGAAGCCAUCGGGUUCUCUUCACGCUGAGCAGACUGGAGCACUUUAGCUUAUGCAUCACUGACACAGAAAGUAACUUCUGAAGCCCAU
rnacentral:lncRNA from 1 species